rnacentral:lncRNA from 1 species
GGAAACCAAGCAUUAUUUCAACUCAUUCUUAUCAUGCUAAAUCAUGCAUCAAGCUAUUUUUGUGUAAAAAUUUUGAAAAUGAUAGAGGCAUUGUUUGUUGAGAAAAACCACUUGACCAAAAAGUUUGAAUCAACUAGCCUUGUGAGGAGUAAUCCUUAGUUAAACCCCUUUGAGCUUAUUUUAGGAUUCAUUUGAUUGAUAAUUGUAAAUCAAUUGAAAUUUUUUGGAAUAAAUGAAUCCUAAUU